rnacentral:rRNA from 1 species
UACGAAGGGUGCAAACGUUGCUCGGAAUUAUUGGGCGUAAAGCGCACGUAGGCGGCUUAGCAAGUCGGAAGUGAAAGCCCUCGGCUCAACCAAGGAAGUGCUUUCGAAACUGCUGAGCUUGAGUAGUUAAGAGGAUCGCGGAAUUCCCGGUGUAGAGGUGAAAUUCGUAGAUAUCGGGAGGAACACCAGUGGCGAAGGCGGCGAUCUGGGAAGAUACUGACGCUGAGGUGCGAAAGCGUGGGGAGCAAACAGG